rnacentral:lncRNA from 1 species
UUUUAUAAAUAGUGUUAACACAAAAUGCUUUGUGUAUCGAGUUGCGAGAGAUAUAAGGCCUCCAUUUCUUGUUAGUACAACUAUAAGAAUAGUAAAAUAUUGCACUCAACACUUGCUUUUCGUUCUAACUAAACUAAAAAUGAUUUAAAAGUUGUAAUUUUGAUUAAAUCCACCUAAUUCAAAGUUGAACACUUCUAAAGGAAGUCAACUGAAUUAAAUGCUUAUUAUAAAGUCUAAUUCUAAUUUAAUAUUAGGCUAGUUUGAUGUACAAAUCAUUCAAUUUUUUAUUUUUAUUUUUUGUAGUUAAAUGGUUAUUUAAUAAGCUAAUAAUGUUUAGUUAGUUUAAACUUGGAGAGGGUUUAUGCUCAUUUAAAAUACAAUAUUAUUAUUAUUAUUACUAUUAUCAUCAUCAUCAGAGUUUGUCAAUCACACAUCAUUUUUCGAAUGUCUUUCCAAAAUAUUUUAUCCUCAAAUGUCAAACUAACGAGCCAAGAAAGCUCAUUUAUCUUAUUUUUAAUUUAUAUUUUUUUCAGAUUAUAUAGUAUAAACAUAUAAAAUCAAGUGAAAUGACAUUCCUUGACGUAUGAUGGAUCCGCCCUGCGUUAUAUUCUUGUAUCAACCAACGAUAUUGGUCUUUUAGCAAAGAGGAAAUGAAUUUGAUUAAUCUUAACUAGUUUGUAAUUUUAAUCCCUUUUCUAUGAUAUUUUUAAUUAAAUAACAAAUAUUAUAUAACUCGGACAAAAUGAGUCACUGUCGUCUAUGGAGGAAUCACGGGUGCGAUUCUGGAGCAAGCAGCCAACAAAAUUGACUAGGGCUUGUAACUUGUAAUCACGUGUGCUUGCCUACCCUCAAAAUGUCUCGAGUUUUGUUAACGCGGAAUGUUUUCUGUAUUGAAGUCGAAAUAUUUUUUGUUUGUAUGUUUGAACUAAAUCUUAAUUUAAUGAAAUAUCUUAAGUCUCGAUUAAACGUUUUCCGUUCAAAUUUUGGAAAAAUAUUUGUAUGCAUUGAUCUUAUUCAUUUAUUAGACAAUAUUUAAAUUAAUCAGAUAGAAUAUGACGUUUUUCUUCAAUUAUAAGCAUCUAUAUCAAUAAAACUCGUAAAACCCCAUGUAUUUUCUAAUAAAAGAAAAUAAUAUUAACUUAACUAUCAUGGAGAUAAAUGAAAACACAUACUUUUUUCAAAUUUUGAAUAGAAAACGUUUAAGAAGGAGUGUAGGACGUGUUAUUAUUAGAUGUUGAGGUGUUCAGUUGAAAUAUAACUUCAUUGGAGUAUUUAAAUAAAAUAUCUCGACAAGUUAAAAUAGCUGACUAUAUAUUAAGCCAAUUUUAUUUUUACAUAAAUAGCUACCAAGUUUGAUCUCAUUUAAUUUCCUUUUUUGUGAUUAUGCUUACUUCUACCAUUUAAAAAAUAUAUCUAUUAUUAUAUGUGAAAACAUGAUUUAAAUAUUUUGUCCUAUAUAUAAUGAUAUACACUUUUACUUAAUUGUAAAAAAUGAAUUCAAGUAAAAGUUAUUUCCAUUUUCAUUAUUAUUAUUAUUAUUAUUAUUAUUAUUAUUAUUAUUAUUUGCGUGUCAUAUAUAUUACCUUAGAAAAAAAUAUCUUGAUAUAUAUAUUUAGACUAAAAAAUUGUUCUAACACGACAUAAACUUAAAUGGAGGAAUUUUAAUGUACUAAACAUGACAUUCUUGAAAGAGGUGUGGUUGCAUUCUAAAAAAAAAUCAAUAAAAAAUUGAAUCUUACAACAAAAAUUAAUAUAACAUUUUAGAUCAAGAAAUAUUUCAAUAAAAAAUACUUUAUGAAAAAUCUUCCAUUUACCUGGAGUAUAAGAUUUAAUAAUUGGAUAAGAUACAGAGAUAUAAGAAUAUAAAUGAUUUGGAUGGCUUAAAAAAUCUAAUUUCACUCGUAUAAAAGAGAAUAAUAAAAAUUAUUGAUAUGAUAUAAUUUUUAAAAAGUCUAUGGCAAUCUUUUUGUAUAUUUUUGUUUAUUUAUAAAAAAAUAUUAAAUACUGAAUAUCUUAACGAAAAUUUUAAUUUCACCACUGAACAAUAAUAUUAUAUUUGAACCUAAAGUAAUGUAGAUUCCUAUCGAAGCUAAAGAUUGGUGAAAGUUAGGAAUUAGAUGCUCACUGAAAAAUUCUAGGUUGCAGUAGCCAUCACAAUUAAACAACAUAGAAUCAAAUUCAAUUCAAUUCCCUAAUUCUUUUUUUAUUUUAUUCAUAUCUGGUGUUUGAUAUCAGUAUUAAAAUUUGAUUAAUUUAAAUUUAUUUUGCAUACGACUCCAUUCAAGGGGAAGCAUUUUCUAUCAAAGAUUUUUUUAAUAUUAAGAAUUCGAACUUAAGACUUCUGAUCAAAUAAAAAAUUUUAUUCACUGCACCAGAUCGUUUGACGGUAACUCAAUUCUCUUAUCACUUGUAUUUCUUUCUCUUAAACCUUAUAUAUACUUGAGAAUUUUUUGCUUGUUCAUAUUGGAAAAAUAUAAUGGGUAUUUUCAUGAGCUGCAUGGGAGAAGGUUAGUGAUCUCCUUCCUAUUUUUUUUAUUAGAAAGAGAAGUGUUAUUGUUCGCGAUGUUAAAUAAAUAAAUGCUUUCUCAUUAAUUAUUUUUAAAAAUAUUUUAUUUUUCUUUCUAGCACUUUAAAACGAGCUAGAAAACUACUUUUAAAACAAGAAAAAUAAGAGUUAUAUUGAUUUUUAACUAUUCGAUUCGAAUAAGUAUCCUUCCCUCCAACCCUUACUAUGAAUUAAAGAGAUGAAUUAUAUAAACAUACAAAACUCCUAUUAUAUAUACACACAAUCUGACAUAAUUGAAAGUUCCUAUAAUAAAUUGAUAACUUUGGAAAAAGGAGGAAUGUACUAUUUCAAUAUUCCUUUAAAAAAAUUGGAAUAAGAAAAUAAUAAAAGCAAAAUUUUCCAAUUAUAUUCCAAAAAUAGCUAGAAAUAUUAUAUAUUUUUUAAUCCUAAUUUAAGUGACACAGAUCGAAAUUUGAGAAUCAAAUCGUUCUAGUUUGACCGCUUAUUCAAAUAUAUAUAUAUAUAUUUUUUAAAUUUUGAAAAUAAAAUUUACAUAUUUUAAAAUUAUGCAACAAGUACAAUAAGUCAUAAUAUUUAAACGAGAUGUGAAAAAAUUAUCGUAAGAAAAAAGGUUUGUUUAAAUUUCGAAAUCAUAAUGGUUUAAUCAGCCUCGGAACUAAACAGGCCUAGGCCCAAAAUUUGUAUCAGCUCUAUUGGGCCUAACCCAAUGAGUACAAUUUUCAAGCCCAGUUCAAAUCCAGUUAUUCAUAUCUCUUAACAAUUCCCCUUUUCAUAGUGGUGGCCUAGGGUUUUACUCUCUCGCGUUCUUCACUAGGGUUUCAGGUUUGCCGUCUGCUUCAAUUUUUCCCUUGUAUAGAUCUGUUUAUGUUUGAUCUGAUGUUUAAUGUUCAAUUUGUGACUUGUUUUAGUUUGAUAAAUUGAAUUUUGCGGUUCCACCAAUCCUAAUUUUGUUUAAAAUUUCAUUGAAUUGAAUAAAUUAAUCGUUUUAUUGAAUUCGAACAUCUUACGCUGAGUUUUAGUAGCUCAAUUAGUUAACUAUCUGAAUUUUCAGCUUGUUUGGGAUUUUUUUUUGAAAAAUAUCAUUUUUUUGAUGGUUCGUGCAUAUGUAUACAGUGUGUUGUUGAACUCAUUAGUUACUAUUUGUUGCUGCUACUGUUUUCUUCUUCUUUAUUUUUAGCAUGAGAUUUUUUUCCUGUUCACAUGUGUGAAGUAUAUAAUUUAGUCGAUCUGAAUGUCUGUCCGAAACAACCUCUCUGCGUUCAGAAGUAAGGUGUGAGGUUGCUUACACUGAGUAUGCUGUGGUUGCAUAGUGAAAGCAGUUUUAAUAGGUAGCCUCACCUUUUUAAUAUAAUUUAAAACAUAAAUGUAUAUAUCUUAUACGUAGAAAAAUAGUAUUCCAGACUGCGUGGUAUUCGCCACAGAGAAUAAUUUGUGAUGGAGUUCAGUUCUUAAUCACUUGUAGCAAAUCUUAAUUUUUACACACUUUCAUACAAUUGUAGAUUAGGGUUUUUAGUGAAAUAGGAUAGACAGAUUGUUUGCAGAUAUUGCAAUCAUCUGUGUAUACAACAUAAAUUCUUUAUAAUUUAAGUAUUCUAUAGUGCUACCAAGAAAACAGAGCUGAAAUAACUCUGUUUCUGAUGAUUUUGGCAUAUUUCAGACACAGUACCAUUGAAUUUCUUAUUAUUACCUUGUGAAUUCUUAACUUCUUUUAUAUAUGUCUGACCAAAGUGUGUAUUCCUUUAUAGGUUAUUAUUCCGAGAUGUCAAGAGUGUACGUUGGAAAUCUUGAUCCUAGGGUCACUGAAAGAGAACUAGAAGAUGAAUUCCGUGUCUUUGGAGUUAUAAGAAGGUAAAGCAAAUCCUACGUAAAUUUGUAUUUUUAAUUUGUAUGCAUUGAUGACCUCUUAAAAGUAGGAUGUGCAAUUCUUUUGGUGAUUGGCUGCUGAAUAUUUAUUAUAGAGCCUAGCAAGUAAAUUUGUAGUUUACAACUAGAACCCGUUAUUAGUAAUUACUAGUCAUCCCAUCAUCAUUGCUUUUAUUCCUUCAAACUUCGUGAAUGAAGCAUAAAUUAACAAUCUGACAUGAGGGAGCUUAAGUCUUUAUUUUUUAUCAAAUAGAAGAUAAUUUAUUCUAACUUAACAAGUAUACCUGUUUCUCUAAAGCAGUAUUUAGAUGUAGUGGUUGUAAGCUGUACUGCAGGCACUUUAUGUCCUCAUAUUAUGACUAACUUUGUAAGAAGUUUCUAGGGAAAUGAAUCUGGUAUAAGAUAUCCAUGCAUUUGUUGCUCUUUGAUCUGUUGAAACUCCUAUGUAUUGUUUCGAAUUCUUAAAAAAAGGACUGAUUAUUGAAUGCCAAAUAAAGUGACAUGUUGAGAUUUAAAUCAAAGGGAUUUGGGAUAUAAAUUCAGCUACUAAGAACAUUAGUAGAACUUUAGUAUAACUAGGGGCUAUUUCAUUUAUGGAAUUUGACUACUUGUUUUUCCAUCCUUAAAUGUUUUCUGCUUAGCGCACAAGACUCUUGAUGAAAUUUUUUUUUAAAAUGCUUGCAGUGUUUGGGUUGCAAGACGCCCACCUGGUUAUGCCUUUAUUGACUUUGAUGACCGUAGAGAUGCACAAGACGCAAUCAGGGAUCUGGAUGGUAUGGUCCCUUACUCAUGCAUAUGAUUCAACCUUCUGAAUGGGUUCUUAUCUUAUUUAUGGCUGUGUAGCCUUUAUCCGAAUUCAAUCUUUUUCAAAAUACUUUUGCAGCUUCAUAUCAAUUUUAUAUUUUUGCUCUGUAAAUAUAUCAAAUACUGAAGCAUUUUAAGCUUUUCUCUUCAUGAUACAUUAAACAGGUAAGAAUGGAUGGAGAGUGGAGCUCUCACAUAAUUCUAGAGGAGAAAGGGGUGGGGGCCGUGGAGGGGGUCGUGGUCGUUCUGGAGGUUCUGAUUUGAAGUGCUAUGAGUGUGGUGAGUCUGGUCAUUUUGCUCGUGAAUGCAGAGUGCGAGGAGGUCCAGGUCCUGGUAAACGUAGAAGUCGUAGCCCCCCUAGAUAUCGGAGGAGUCCAAGUUAUGGUCACAGGUUAGAAGAGAACUUUUCAUAUAUGUAGUAGGACGUGACAUUCGCUCUUACCCCCUUGUAAUUCCCUUAUUGAAACAGGAGUUAUAGUCCUCGUGGACGUUCCCCCAGGCGCCGAAGCGUGUCACCUCGUGGCCGUAGUUAUAGCCGAUCUCCAUAUCGUGGAAGAGAUGAAGUUCCUUACUCCAAUGGGUGAGUUUCCUAACUUUGGCAUCAUUUAUUGUUUCAUCUUUGUUGAUUGGGCAUUCCUUUUUGAAAGUGUUCGUACCUGAUUAAAGUUGGGUAAUUCUCCCUAAUGUGUGUGUAUAUAUAUACACAUUAGGAUUUUUUCUUGGAUAGUCAUUUAUAUCAUUUUGCAUCUGUUUGGUGUUUCAUGCCUUAGUUCGUGUAGCUUGUGUAUUGAUUGUGUUGCUACCUACCUACUUGUUUUGGGUUUUUGAUUUUGGGACAUUGUCUGGUCUCAUGCUGUACAAAUAUGUUUGUUUAUUUAUUCUUUCAUAUUGAUAAUGAAUCUUAUCAAUGCUCUUGUUAUCCUUAUCCUUCUUCUUCUUUGUAACACAGAAAUGGUGUCAGGGACCGAAUCAGAAGCAGGAGCUGAACGGAGAAGUUGAUUACUUAUCUCAUUCAGGAGUUUUUCGAUGUGUGUUAGCAUUACUAUGCUUGACUUGAUCACAGCUGUGUAAGUGAGGCCGUGCCCUCAACUUCAACGGCUUUAAUUUUCGUAUGGUAUUAUAAGUGUGUUUUUUUAAUUUCUUAACUUUCUCCCCUUUUAAGAACCAUUAUGUUAGGGACAUAGACCUUUUGUACUUUAUGGCAUCUAUUAUCUUUAGAAAAGAAAUAUCCUAAAGAAUGCUGCUAAAAAUUUACUUUUGUUUUCUUGUGUCGAGGUGUCUUCACGGUACUCUGCUUCGUUGGUUUUCUGCUCCCACACUCUGUGGUUUCGUUCUUCACUGCCCUGCUGUGGGAUCUUCAAUUUCAAUGAUUGUGGAUCCCAGCUAGCUACAUCACUAGAUGCUUCUGUUUGAUUGAAUCUCUGCUGCUAUGACACGCCUCACCUCAAAGUGUAGUGGUAUAUUAAAAGUAGAUAUUAAAGAUGAUGAAUGGCAUCACAGUCAUAUGACGGUACCUAAU